rnacentral:rRNA from 1 species
UACAGAGGUCCCAAGCGUUGUUCGGACUCACUGGGCGUAAAGGGUGCGUAGGUGGUGAGGUAAGUCGGAUGUGAAAUCUCCGAGCUCAACUCGGAAAUGGCAUUGGAAACUACCUUGCUCGAGGGUUGGAGGGGGGACUGGAAUACUUGGUGUAGCAGUGAAAUGCGUAGAUAUCAAGUGGAACACCAGUGGCGAAGGCGAGUCUCUGGACAUUUCCUGACGCUGAGGCACGAAAGCCAGGGGAGCAAACGGG